rnacentral:piRNA from 1 species
UUUAUGGUUCUUCUUGCAAUA